GAUGAACGCUGGCGGCGUGCUUAACACAUGCAAGUCGAACGAAGCACUUUAUUUGAUUUCCUUCGGGACUGAUUAUUUUGUGACUGAGUGGCGGACGGGUGAGUAACGCGUGGGUAACCUGCCUUGUACAGGGGGAUAACAGUUGGAAACGGCUGCUAAUACCGCAUAAGCGCACAGCAUCGCAUGAUGCAGUGUGAAAAACUCCGGUGGUAUAAGAUGGACCCGCGUUGGAUUAGCUAGUUGGUGAGGUAACGGCCCACCAAGGCGACGAUCCAUAGCCGACCUGAGAGGGUGACCGGCCACAUUGAGACUGAGACACGGCCCAAACUCCUACGGGAGGCAGCAGUGGGGAAUAUUGCACAAUGGGCGAAAGCCUGAUGCAGCGACGCCGCGUGAGCGAAGAAGUAUUUCGGUAUGUAAAGCUCUAUCAGCAGGGAAGAUAAUGACGGUACCUGACUAAGAAGCACCGGCUAAAUACGUG
rnacentral:rRNA from 1 species